UACAGAGGGUGCGAGCGUUAAUCGGAAUUACUGGGCGUAAAGCGCGCGUAGGCGGCUUUGCAAGUCGGGUGUGAAAUCCCCAGGCUCAACCUGGGAACUGCAUUCGAGACUGCAUUGCUAGAGUAUGGGAGAGGGAAGUGGAAUUUCAGGUGUAGCGGUGAAAUGCGCAGAUAUCGGGAAGAACACCCGUGGCGAAGGCGGCACUCUGGGACGGUACUGACGCUGAGACGCGAAAGCGUGGGGAGCGAACAGG
rnacentral:rRNA from 1 species